GUGCCAGCAGCCGCGGUAAUACAGAGGGUGCGAGCGUUGUCCGGAAUCACUGGGCGUAAAGGGCGCGUAGGUGGCGACCCAAGUCAAUGGUGAAAGCUCGCCGCUUAACGGCGAGUCGGCCACUGAUACUGGGUUGCUCGAGCACUGUAGAGGCUAAUGGAAUUCCGGGUGUAGCGGUGGAAUGCGUAGAGAUCCGGAAGAACACCGGUGGCGAAGGCGGUUAGCUGGGCAGUUGCUGACACUGAGGCGCGACAGCGUGGGGAGCAAACAGGAUUAGAUACCCCAGUAGUCC
rnacentral:rRNA from 1 species